rnacentral:misc_RNA from 1 species
GUAGCUCAGUGGUAGAGC